rnacentral:tRNA from 1 species
CUUUGUAGCUCAGUAGGAUAGAGCGACGGUUUCCUAAACCGGUGGUCGUGGGUUCGACUCCCACCAAGGC